GUGCUCGCUUCGGCAGCACAUAUACUAAAAUUAGAACAAUACAGAGAAGAUUAGCAUGGCCCCUGCUUAAGAAUGACACACAAAUUCGUGAAGCAUUCCAUAUUUAA
ensembl:snRNA U6 U6 spliceosomal RNA